rnacentral:tRNA from 1 species
GCUCCCGUAGCCCAAAGCAGAGGCCGCCGGUUUAAACCCGGUGUCAGUGUUGAGUGCGAUCCUCACCGGGAGCACCA